UGGAUGCCCGCAUAGGGGCGCGGAGGCCGGGCGCCGCUGGGACUACCGUGGCUCCAGGUGUAGCAGGUCUCCUAGCCCUGGGGCGGAGGACGGCGGUGGGCACCGUAUUCUGCGAUGUGGUUUCGCCGCCUCGCCCAAGGUUACCUGCUGGGGCGGUCAGAACUGUGCUUUUGGAAGUGGGUGGCGCAGGCCGACCCCACCCCUCCAGGAGCUGGAGUGGAGAGGCCGUCCGUGGACCGUAUGGAGGUGGCAGCCCCUGGCUGGGAAUGUAGGUUCUUGGGCACAGCUGCCUUGUCCUCCGUGUUGAAGCUCGGAUUCCCCGUACAUGGGACAGUGAGUGCCGGCUGUGUAGCUGUUGGCUGAAAGCAAGAACGUACAGCGGGAUGAAGACAGACGGAGGGCCCAGUCCUGGAGGGGAGGAGCCUCUGGACAGAGCAGAGGGGCCGGCGAGAGAGGACCAGGGAGCAGUGGCCACACAAGGACUGACGCUGGAUGAUGGGGCUGCAGGGGACAGAGGGAAAGGUUUAACCCUUACGCUCUGCUCUGGCCAUCUUGCCGGGAGCUCUCCUGAGCUGGACUCGGUCAGGGCCCUGCGCGCACAGUUGUCCCCACCCCCGGACACCUGGCCACGCUGAGGCGGUGAGGCGGGUCAGGGCGGACACCGGCCUGAAGCUGCGGCCGGUGUAGGCAGAAAAGGGGGGCAGGC